GACGAACGCUGGCGGCGUGCCUAAUACAUGCAGUAGAACGCUGAAGGAGGAGCUUGCUUCUCUGGAUGAGUUGCGAACGGGUGAGUAACGCGUAGGUAACCUGCCUGGUAGCGGGGGAUAACUAUUGGAAACGAUAGCUAAUACCGCAUAAGAGUAGAUGUUGCAUGACAUUUGCUUAAAAGGUGCAAUUGCAUCACUACCAGAUGGACCUGCGUUGUAUUAGCUAGUUGGUGGGGUAACGGCUCACCAAGGCGACGAUACAUAGCCGACCUGAGAGGGUGAUCGGCCACACUGGGACUGAGACACGGCCCAGACUCCUACGGGAGGCAGCAGUAGGGAAUCUUCGGCAAUGGACGGAAGUCUGACCGAGCAACGCCGCGUGAGUGAAGAAGGUUUUCGGAUCGUAAAGCUCUGUUGUAAGAGAAGAACGAGUGUGAGAGUGGAAAGUUCACACUGUGACGGUAUCUUACCAGAAAGGGACGGCUAACUACGUG
rnacentral:rRNA from 1 species